rnacentral:snoRNA from 1 species
UUCCAAAGCGUUGAGUUCAGUUCAGGGCUGCUCCCCUGUUCUGUUAAUUAAACUUUGGGACAUUGAACUACAGGCUCGGGGAGAAGAUUGACUGGAGAGCACGACUCUGUUCAUUUACCUCCUCGGCCUACAGAG